GCGACCCCAGGAUGGGCGGGAUGACCCGCU
rnacentral:rRNA from 1 species